GUUCUGGAUUAUCUCUGUUUCUCAUCACGGUUUGCUGAAUAUUUAACAUCAGAUAAGUAUUACUCUAUCAACAUUUUUACAAUCUGUGUAAAAUUGUUCCGGGUACUUUGUGUUUUUCUAUUUUUUUUUCAGGAUUUUAACGCUGCAAACACAGAGUCGGAUGGACGCUUUAAGCUAAUCCAUCACGUAUUUCCCAUGUAUUUUCACUAUGAUUGAAAAUAGUAAAAUAAUGGGCUAAACCUCCACUAACAUUUGAACCGGUGAACGCAAUAAGUCCUGAUAACGAAUUUUCUACUACAUCAUCUCUGUAACAGUCUUCUGUGUCUAUUAUUAAAUAGGAA